GAUGAACGCUGACAGCAUGCUUAACACAUGCAAGUCUACUUGAAUUUGGGUUUUUUAACUUAGAUUUGGGUGGCGGACGGGUGAGUAACGCGUAAAGAACUUGCCUCACAGUUAGGGACAACAUUUGGAAACGAAUGCUAAUACCUGAUAUUAUGAAUAUAUGGCAUCAUAUAAUUAUGAAAGCUAUAAGCGCUGUGAGAGAGCUUUGCGUCCCAUUAGCUAGUUGGAGAGGUAACGGCUCACCAAGGCGAUGAUGGGUAGCCGGCCUGAGAGGGUGAACGGCCACAAGGGGACUGAGACACGGCCCUUACGCCUACGGGAGGCAGCAGUGGGGAAUAUUGGACAAUGGACCAAGAGUCUGAUCCAGCAAUUCUGUGUGCACGAUGACGUUUUUCGGAAUGUAAAGUGCUUUCAGUUGGGAAGAAAAAAAUGACGGUACCAACAGAAGAAGUGACGGCUAAAUACGUG
rnacentral:rRNA from 1 species